ACUUUUAAAUAAUAAAGAGUUUGUAGUGGAUGCCUUGGGUCUGAAAG
rnacentral:rRNA from 1 species